UACACUCCUACGGGAGGCAGCAGUGGGGAAUUUUGGACAAUGGGCGAAAGCCUGAUCCAGCAAUGCCGCGUGUGUGAAGAAGGCCUUCGGGUUGUAAAGCACUUUUGUCCGGAAAGAAAUCCUUGGCUCUAAUACAGUCGGGGGAUGACGGUACCGGAAGAAUAAGCACCGGCUAACUACGUGCCAGCAGCCGCGGUAAUACGUAGGGUGCGAGCGUUAAUCGGAAUUACUGGGCGUAAAGCGUGCGCAGGCGGUUUGCUAAGACCGAUGUGAAAUCCCCGGGCUCAACCUGGGAACUGCAUUGGUGACUGGCAGGCUAGAGUAUGGCAGAGGGGGGUAGAAUUCCACGUGUAGCAGUGAAAUGCGUAGAGAUGUGGAGGAAUACCGAUGGCGAAGGCAGCCCCCUGGGCCAAUACUGACGCUCAUGCACGAAAGCGUGGGGAGCAAACAGGAUUAGAUACCCCUGUAGUCCC
rnacentral:rRNA from 1 species